GGAGGAAUGACUCAAAAUCACCUUCCGAAGUCAAAGGAGUUGACUCCGGCGACGGUGACGGAGAGAGAGUCGAUGAUGAUGGAUCUCGAUUUUGAUAUUGACGCUUCAUGGUCCUUUGAUCAGAUUUUUGCUGCUGCUGCUGCGGUGUCGUCGAAUCCUGCGUCUCCGUUCCUUCCUUGUUCUCCUCUUUGGGCAUUUCCCGAUGAUAACGACGAAAAACCCGCCGGAAAUGGACUUUCCGGUGCUCUACGUAUCUCCGGUCACCCUAGAUUUGUAGCUUACACUGGUGAUUUAGAGGCUACAACUGAAACUAUCUCUGUCAACACUGAUAAGGGACGACUUACAUCACCAAUUUCAGGACUAUUACCUGGAGAUAAUCCAGAGGGGUCUUGUAUAAUCAAGG
rnacentral:misc_RNA from 1 species